rnacentral:rRNA from 1 species
UACGUAGGGUCCGAGCGUUGUCCGGAAUUAUUGGGCGUAAAGGGCUCGUAGGCGGUUUGUCGCGUCGGGAGUGAAAACUCGGGGCUUAACUCCGAGCCUGCUUCCGAUACGGGCAGACUAGAGGUAUGCAGGGGAGAACGGAAUUCCUGGUAUAGCGGUGAAAUGCGCAGAUAUCAGGAGGAACACCGGUGGCGAAGGCGGUUCUCUGGGCAUUACCUGACGCUGAGGAGCGAAAGUGUGGGGAGCGAACAGG